CUCAGUUUAACAAAAAGGAAUUAAGAAUCAGUUCCCUUAGCUCUGGAAUGCAAACCUGAGAGCCUUGACAACUGAAUUUGGGUGUACGGCCAUAAUUGGCCAUAAUUGGGGACUUCAGGCAUCUGAGAGUCUGUGGCUGGAGCUUAGAUAAACUAGUCUCAGAAGGUGGCACGUGAUGUUCUACUUGGUUGUCAGACAGUGCAUACGAGCUACAGAGCAGCAUCAACAACAACAAAAUUAAAUACGUGGAUCUCUGUGUAACGUGAGAAAACAAAUAAGAUCUAUAGCCCUGUUCCACGCCCAUUUCAAUACAUUUGUGUUUGUGCACAAGGGUUGCCUGUUUCUCAGCUGUUCACAUCACUCUAACCGCACAUGUUGAGCACAUCAGUGCAGAUGUGGAGGAGAGACGCAGGGAUGACUGUGAGGCUCCCUCAUGGAACAGAAGGCAAUUGAGACAGGGGGAGGGGGUGGUGGCCCCAACUUGCAGAGCUGAGCACGUAACGAGCAAGCUGUGAACAGUGGGUAGAGGAGCUCUCUCCACACCUGCAGACCAAAAGCAAAAAGAAGAAUGACAGCCUCAAUUCGGCUCCAACCUGGAUGCCAUCUCUCCCCCAGGGCAUCGGAGAAGGGCAAGUGCGUUUGCUGAGCCAUGCCUUCAAAAGCCUCUCCUGUGCCUGUCUCAGUAUCCUUCUCACAAGGAGCCUAGGACCCCACCUCCCCCAUUCUCAUCUCUCAGCCCCAGAACGGCCCCGGUUCUCCGAGCACUUGUCUUUCUUCUCUUCGGAGAGCAAGUUCUGUGUUCCCAGCAAAUCACCCACUUGUGCCGCUAUUGUCUGCUGUUCUCCUAUCACCGACAGACAUCCAAACAAGCUCUGCACAGAGACUCCCAGGAGCCAGGCUGGCAGACGGAGCCGGAGCCGGAGGAAGCCCUGUCUCAUCGGCAGCAGCGGUGGCAAUGGGGACUUGCUCCGCUCUUGAGGAAAUGUGAGGAAUCUAUGUGGAAAUGAGCUUGAAGGGUGUCAGACCAAUGAGGAUUGAAGGCAAAUUGAGAUCAACCAUGUUUCUGAGUUGCAGUGCCCCUGCCCCCCGGCAGAGAUUCCAAGAAGAUGGAAGUGUUUCCAGAAAGCCUGCCUCAUAGGAAAUGACCAAUGACUACUGUCCAAAAUAAUGAUGAUGAAGAUAAUAAGACCACCGUGCGUCACUGUCGGCAGCUGUGAUCUUCAAACACAGUCUGGACUAUCUCCAUCCGUGUUCGAGCGCGCCGGCUCCGACCCCUCUGGGCUUCAGGUGUGUCAUGUCAGACGUGUCCCUUUAUUCAACCGUAUAUAGAUUUUCUCGAGUUCUGGGAAAAUGCUCCAAGACACAUAUUUGACCCUUUCUUCCUCUGUCCAAUCACGGAAAGAAAAAUGUUAGCCAGAUAAUAUUGAAACGUGUGAAAGCUAUGGAGUCUAAAUGGAUGAAAAUUGAGUAAUUAUCUUUCGGGGAAAUUUUGCAAAAUGAAUCAUCCAAUCAUCACUUUCAAGGCAUGGAUGUGUGCAGGAGAGUUGAUGCUGCA